rnacentral:lncRNA from 1 species
AAUAUAUUGCCACCUUCUAAUUAUAUUUUAAAUAGACUAUCAUUACUCCAUAAAUAUGGACUUAAGAUUACACUUUUUAAGUACAUUUGUACAAUUUGAAGACAUGCAAUGAGGAAAUGGUCAGAACCAAUUCAAGUACCUACAACUUCAAAGUUGAAUGACCUUGCUUCGCUUAUUUAUUUUAAAAGGGGUUCAUACCCUAAACAACACAUAGCUGUUUAUAUAGCUGUCACUAUCAGUGUAAUACGUAUUGUUCAAUAAACAUGAUAAAUUACAAGUGUUGUAACAGGGUUCUAAAUAAGACAAAUCCACAUGGAACAUAAAACCUGUCUCUUUUAUAAUCAUUAUUCAGUCCAAUGAUGCAUCUCUUUUUUUGUCAUGAUUGUAGCAAAAUACAAAAUAUUAAAUUCAAAUUUGAUGUCAUUCAAUGCUCUUUUCGUCAUGGAAACUUAAAUAAUAUUAUACAAUAGCAAUAACAUUUAGUUGUCUUUCUCACUGGUGGACUGGCUAUGGCCAAAUAUUAUGAGUCCCUCGACUAGCCUACAUGUGUACAUUUUUUGUAAGUGAGAACCCUGGGUAAUACACCAAGAAAUCUGGACAAACAAAAUUCCUUUGAACCAUUUUACCUGGGGAAUUGUUAUACACAAUCUAGGUAAUUCAUAGAAUCUAUAAAAAAAA